GUACGAUGUUCUCUCAUGAUGCUGGGCAGAGGUAGCGACCCAUAGCUCCCAGCCAGCCACUUGAUCACAAGGGUAAACAACCAAUACAGUGCCCUGUGUCACCACAUGAUUUUGCCCAACUAUAAGCUAAUGGGGUAAGCGUUCUGAGCACACUUAACGUAGGCUAGGUGAAGCCAUGAUGUUCGUUAGGUUAGGUGUAUUAAAUGUAGUUUCUACUUACCACAUUUUCAACUUAUGAUGUCAGGCUUACAUCCUUAUCAGGGUGUAACCCUAUUCUAAGUUGAGGAGCAUCUGUAUAUGGUUUUUGCCCUUAAGUGGCUUAUACUUUACUUAGAAGAUUAGUUUGGUAAAACCCCAGAAAGAGGCAUUCUAAACGUUAUCAAUCUGAUAAGUAUUUGGUUAACUGUUUUGUAGGUCACUGACUGCUUGGACAAUCUUAUGAAAGCUGACCACCUUCCUCCUCAAAAUGUACAACCACAUAUAUAUACACACACAACAUUUUGCACAUAAAUUCUGGGCUUCCCAGAUCCUCAGCAGCCUUUGGAUUCAACAGAGAAAACAGAUGACCCCCACAGGCUUUUGAAAGAGCCGAAGUCCCCGCACUCCAUGCUCAUAUAGAGAAUGAUCAUAGAAGACAACAACUUUGCUGAAAAAGAAACAACAGAAUACUAUAAUGCACCAAGACUGAGCAGCUGCCAAGGAAGUGCUAUUCUACAGCAGCCACAGAGUACAGAAGGCCGACACGGUCCACUGCCAGAUGACUGGUGAGAAAUGAAACCGAUACCAGGAAUACCAGGAAAGGCAAUGGCUCAAGAAGAUAACUACUCCUGCUAUAACUAAGCCUGAUCUGCCUCAGUGUGUUUCAAGGGCUGUUGGAUCUUGUGGGCAGGAACAUCUUCCUGUUACCUAAUGUACAAAAAGUGGCUA
rnacentral:lncRNA from 1 species